rnacentral:rRNA from 1 species
UACGUAGGGGGCAAGCGUUGUCCGGAUUUAUUGGGUGUAAAGAGCUCGUAGGCGGUGUGUCGCGUCGGCCGUGAAAACCUGCAGCUUAACUGUGGGCUUGCGGUCGAUACGGGCAUCACUGGAGUUCGGCAGGGGAGACUGGAAUUCCUGGUGUAGCGGUGAAAUGCGCAGAUAUCAGGAGGAACACCGGUGGCGAAGGCGGGUCUCUGGGCCGAUACUGACGCUGAGGAGCGAAAGCGUGGGGAGCGAACAGG